rnacentral:rRNA from 1 species
UACAGAGGUCUCAAGCGUUGUUCGGAUUCAUUGGGCGUAAAGGGUGCGUAGGUGGCGCUGUAAGUCGGGUGUGAAAUUUCGGAGCUUAACUCCGAAACUGCAUUCGAUACUGCGGUGCUUGAGGACUGGAGAGGAGACUGGAAUUCAUGGUGUAGCAGUGAAUGCGUAGAGAUCAUGAGGAAGACCAGUGGCGAAGGCGGGUCGUCUGGACAGUUCCUGACACUGAGGCACGAAGGCCAGGGGAGCAAACGGG